rnacentral:rRNA from 1 species
AGGGGUAAACCUGCGAAACUCGAAUGAACGAACGGAGAGAUUCAUCGUCACUCCCCGGCGCGCGGGCGCUCUUCCGAUGUCCUCGGCCUCGGUCGGCGGGCACGGGACGCGUACGCGGCGUCCGGGGACGGCGUGCACUUCUCUCCCAGUAAUACAUCGCGACCCGUUCGAUGUCGGUCUAAGUGCUCCUCGGGAGUCUGUGCGCCCCUUUCGGGGGGUGCGCGGACCGUGGGGGUUACCGACCGGCCGUCGGACGGUAUUACAACGAAACGCGCACGCGCUCGUCGCGUCCGGCCCGACGCAAGGCAACGUCGUAUCCCCGGUCCUGCCCGAGUGCGGACCGGAGUGCGGCGCGCCUGUCGUCGCAGCCGUGCUGUCUCGGACUGUGCGCGUAUCCGUCUGCGAUGAUUCAGUUUCGGGCA